rnacentral:lncRNA from 1 species
UUCAUCUCCCCCCACCCCAUUUUACUCCCAAUAUACCCUACAAUCGGUAACUUCUCUCUUCCCCUGCCUGUUCUUGGUUCCGGCGGCUGUCCAUAGCAGAGCGCGCGUCGCUGCGAUCGGCGAUGAUACUCUGCGCGGCGGGUUUCCAAGUUUUUCGACAAGAAUUAGUUUCCAUUUACAGAUUUUCGACCAUCUAUUCUAUUUUCAAUUGUUCAUUGAAUCAUUUUUUUUCCGAUUAUUUCGUAGUUCUUGGUCGACGAUUUGGAAUAGAGGUUUUCUGCUUGAAGAUACAGCGUGGCUGAAAUCAAACAGGUAAGUCGUUUUGUUUUUUAUUUUUGUUCGAAUUUUUUGUUGACUUUUAGGGGUUUUAAAUCGAACAAGAUUUAAGAUUUUCGAUAAUUAAUGGUUUCCAAAAUCAAAAUCAAAAUUUUUAAUUGGGUUUUAAAUGUAUCAAACGAAAUCAAAAAGUGAUAGUGUUUAUGUGAUUCUAUAUUCGGGUUUUCAAUUAUUUUAGAUUAAUAGUUUUCAACUAUCUGGAUUUUCAAUUUUUGUUGCAGUUUGUUUGAUUAGGGUUUAUGUAAUAGGAUUUUCGGAUGGCUUCUGGAAAGGGGAAAUAGAAAGCUCGGAUGGUAUGAGUGUGUGUUCGAAAUAUUUUGAUUUUUGUUCGUAAUUUUAAGAUUCAAAGUUCAAUGUUUCUAAUAUAUGUUUCAAGCAGUGGAUAUUCGGAUUGUUUUGGUCCAGUUUUGUGAUUCUAUAUUUGGGGACUGAUUUUUCUAUAACAAUUUAUCUCACUUUAUCUCCAUUAAAUUCUCCAACAUGUAAAUUGCGGCAUUUUCUACUGAUUUCAUGGUUGUUGGGGCACCUUCUUUUUGCCCCUUAAUUUUAAUUAUUACGAAAGAUCGUGGUUUGCUGAGAAAUCACUCUUUGUAUUGAUAAUUGUGUUGUAGAUUCAAGAAAUGGAUGGUGCUAUAAGAUGAAUGCAAUUUCUAUGAACCAUUUCGAUUUUCCAGUAUUUUUUUAAUAGAAUAUAUGUGCUGAUUUUGUCAUCCAUCACCCCUAUGUUGCAGAGCUUAUCAGGUUCAGCCAGUUCAGACAGCAUAUAACUCCACAUCCUCUGAUAAUGAUUAUCAGAUUAAGGGCUUUGAUUUUUACUAGUUUGUCGAUGCAUAGUGUGAUACAAAGAGACUAUGUGGGUGAUGAUUAUGAAUGUUGAAGAGACUGAAUUCGAAUUGAUCAUUAGGUUUUUUGAAACAAGAGUGUUUUGUUUGAUUGAUGAACUAUUUCUCUAAUGUCAUUGUAAUAUGUAGCAGUUAUGUUGCCUGGGUGAGAGGUUUGCGAAGAGUUAAUGUUGGUUUGAUUUUUCAUUUGAGUUUCUAUUCAUCAAAGAGUUCUAUUAUGUUCAUUUAGAAUUUUGUUCUGUUCAUUGUAAAAUAUAAAUAUUUGAGGUUUGCGAAGAGUUUAUGUUGGUUUAUUUUUUUCUUACUAACAUAAAGCAUUUUGAAAUGUAAAAUAUUCAACAUAAAAAUUUUCGAACAAGCUUAAAACAAUUAUGAACAUCUGAAUAAAAUUUUGAUUUUUUCUUACUAACAUAAAAUAUUUGACAUAAAGCAUUUCGAACAAGCGUAAAAAAUUUACGAACACCUAAAUAAAAUAUUUGAAUAUUUCUUACUAACAUAAAAUAUUGGACGUAAUAUUUGACAUAAAGAAAUUUCGAACAAGCGUAAAAAAAUUACGAACACCUACAUAAAAUAUUUGAAUUUUUCUUACUAACAUAAAUAUUUGACAGAAGCAUUUCGAACAAGUGUAAAAAAAAAAUUACGAACACCUAAACAAAAUAUCCGAAUUUUUCUUACUGACAAUUCCUAACAAUAACAUAAGAAUUAUAUUCAUGAACAUCUGAAUAAAAUUUCGAUUUUUUCUUACUAACAUAAAAUAUUUGACAUAAAGCAUUUCGAAUAAGCGUAAAAAAUUUACGAACACCUAAAUAAAAUAUUUGAAUAUUUCUUACUAACAUAAAAUAUUGGACGUAAUAUUCGACAUAAAGAAAUUUCAAACAAACGUAAAAAAAUUACGAACACCUACAUAAAAUAUUUGAAUUUUUCUUAUUAACAUAAAUAUUUGACAUAAGCAUUUUGAACAAGACGUAAAAAAUUUACGAACACCUAAACUUAUUGAAUUACAUAUAUAGCCUUUCGGCUAUAAUUAAGGAAAAGAAACAGAAAAAAAAAAAUCGGCCAUUGGAUUGAUAAUUUUGGAGGCUCCAGAUUAAUUCUUCUUUCUCUACAUAUUUGUCAUUAUCUGUUUAACCUUUCUCUCUCUAUAUAUAUAUAAAUAGUUAACUAAUGAAAAUAGGUUGAUUACAUAUAUAGACAUACGUGCCUACCUUAUAUAUAUCGCAAAUUAUUGGGUGCGACCGUCGCACAGCUGUGCGACGGGUCGACCCGGCUCCAAACCUGCCCUCCUGACCCGGAACCCUGACCCGCGUGGGUUUGACCCAUACUCCUAAUUAUUACAUUUGUUUAUAAUAAUUGUUACCUUUAAUAAACAUAAUAUAUACAUUUGUUCAUAUAAAUGUAUAUUGAUAUGUAUAAUGUUUUAUAUUGAAUGAAGGUAAAUAUUUAUAUUAAUAUAAGUAUACAUUUGUGCGACCAAAUGUAUAUCUUAUACUUAUUAAAAGUAAAUACUCCUAUUAGGGUUUAGUNUGCGAUCGGCGAUGAUACUCUGCGCGGCGGGUUUCCAAGUUUUUCGACAAAAAUUAGUUUCCAUUUACAGAUUUUCGACCAUCUCUUCUAUUUUCGAUUGUUCAUUGAAUCAUUUUUUUUUCCGAUUAUUUCGUAGUUCUUGGUCGACAAUUUGGAAUAGAGGUUUUCUGCUUGAAGAUACAGCGUGGCUGAAAUCAAACAGGUAAGUCGUUUUGUUUUU